CCUGCGGGUGCUUACCAUGCAAGUCGAACGUGAAGGGGAGCUUGCUCCCUGGAAAGUGGCGCACGGGUGAGUAACGCGUGGAUAAUCUGCCUGACGAUCUGGGAUAACAUCUCGAAAGGGGUGCUAAUACCGGAUAAGCCCACGGGGUCUUCGGAUUCUGCGGGAAAAGGGGGGGACCUUCGGGCCUUCUGUCGUCAGAUGAGUCCGCGUACCAUUAGCUAGUUGGUAGGGUAAUGGCCUACCAAGGCGACGAUGGUUAGCUGGUCUGAGAGGAUGAUCAGCCACACUGGAACUGAGACACGGUCCAGACUCCUACGGGAGGCAGCAGUGGGGAAUUUUGCGCAAUGGGGGAAACCCUGACGCAGCAACGCCGCGUGAGUGAUGAAGGCCUUCGGGUCGUAAAGCUCUGUCAGAGGGAAAGAAAUGUGUGGUGGCUAAUAACCAUUGCACUUGACGGUACCCUCAAAGGAAGCACCGGCUAACUCCGUGCCAGCAGCCGCGGUAAUACGGAGGGUGCGAGCGUUGUUCGGAUUUAUUGGGCGUAAAGCGCGUGUAGGCGGUUUUUUAAGUCUGAUGUGAAAGCCCCGGGCUCAACCUGGGAAGUGCAUUGGAUACUGGAAGACUUGAGUACGGGAGAGGGCAGUGGAAUUCCCAGUGUAGGAGUGAAAUCCGUAGAUAUUGGGAGGAACACCGGUGGCGAAGGCGGCUGCCUGGACCGAUACUGACGCUGAGACGCGAAAGCGUGGGGAGCA
rnacentral:rRNA from 1 species